UACGGAGGGUGCAAGCGUUGUCCGGAUUUAUUGGGUUUAAAGGGUGCGUAGGCGGCCCGUUAAGUCAGUGGUGAAAGCCUCCAGCUCAACUGGAGAACUGCCAUUGAUACUGGCGGGCUUGAGUACAGACGAGGUUGGCGGAAUUGAUAGUGUAGCGGUGAAAUGCAUAGAUACUAUCAAGAACUCCGAUUGCGUAGGCAGCUAACUAGGCUGUAACUGACGCUGAGGCACGAAAGCGUGGGGAGCAAACAGG
rnacentral:rRNA from 1 species